UUUGAGGGAAUCAGAGGCCGUCUUAAGCUCAAUCUCGAGCUCCAUCAUCGUUGAAGCCUUACUAUUCCGAAUCACGGCGGCAAGACCUCGGAUGGCAGCUACAGCCUCGGCCAAGUCAGGCUGCCUGGGGCAAUUUAAAAACCAUCAGGCUGCUUGCGCCAAUUAUUGAACUCGUCUAUGACGCUGAACGGCUUGUCAAUAGGAGGGCCCUGAGGUUUAUCGUCGUCUCCGUCGGGGGCGUCGGGAUGGGUGCCGACGGCGGCCUGGGCCUGGGCGAGCCAGUCGCUGGAGAUGAC
rnacentral:lncRNA from 1 species